CCCGAGCCCUCCGGGAGGCGCGUUGUCACGGAGACCGGCGCCGGUGCCGGCCCGCCGCGCUGCCCCGGCUCUCCCCCGGCCCGCUCCGCGGCUCCCCCCGGCCCCGCUCCCCGCCGCGGGGUGGUGGCUGCGCUUGGCCAUGAGUUUACCGCAGAAGGCGGCUUUGAAACCCGGCGCGGCGGCGGCGGGGACCGGCCCCGGGAGCGGGGCGGCGGCGGGGCCGCCUCCUCCCCCGGCUCCCCCUCACCCGGCGCCGGCGCCUCACCCCAACAUCAGGGCCUUGCCGCCCCAGCCGCCCCAGCAAAUCCCCCGAGGUCCUGUCCAGCAGCCUCUGGAGGAUCGGAUCUUCACUCCGACCGUCUCGGCUGUGUACAGCACUUUUAUCUCCACACAGGUAACACAAGUAGCAAGACAACCGGGUCCUCCUGCCCCAUCCCCUUACACUGCACAUGAAAUAAAUAAGGGACACCCAAACCUUGCUGCAACACCACCGGGACAUGCAUCGUCCCCUGGGCUCUCACAGGCUCCUUAUCCCUCAGGACAGAAUGCAGCUCCAACCACGUUGGUGUACCCUCAAGCCCCUCAAACAAUGAACACGCAGCCUCAGACCCGCUCGCCGUUUGCAGCGGGGCCUCGACCUGCCCAUCACCAGUUUUUUCAGAGGCCUCAGAUCCAGCCUCCAAGAGCCACCAUCCAGAACAGCAGCCCCUCCAUCCGUCCUGGAGCGCAGACCCCGACUGCCGUGUACCAAACCAAUCAGCACAUCAUGAUGGUGAACCACCUGCCAAUGCCCUACCCAAUGCCUCAGGGCCCCCAGUACUGUAUCCCACAGUAUCGUCACAGUGGCCCCCCGUACGUCGGGCCACCCCAGCAAUAUCCUGUGCAGCCACCAGGACCAGGACCCUUUUACCCAGGCCCAGGUCCUGGAGAAUUCCCCAAUGCUUAUGGAACACCCUUCUACCCCAGCCAGCCCGUGUACCAGUCUGCACCCAUCAUUGUGCCUACACAGCAGCAGCAGCCACCGCCUGCCAAGAGAGAGAAGAAAACGAUCCGAAUCCGGGAUCCAAACCAGGGAGGCAAAGACAUAACAGAAGAAAUCAUGUCUGGAGGGGGCAGCAGGAACCCCACGCCCCCCAUCGUCAGACCCACCUCCACCCCGACUCCACCUCAGGCUCACCCUGUUGUCCCUCCUGCCCAGCAGGUGCCCAGCCAGGUCCCCGAGCCCGUUCCCACGGCGUUCGGAACCGUGGAGAGCUCCCAUCCCUCUGGCAGCACCCCCGGCACCGCAGCCCCCGCCUCCAAACAAGAAGAGAAGCCAAAACCAGAUCCAGUAUUAAAACCACCUUCUCCAGUCCUCAGACCAGAACCUACUGGGGAGAAGAAAGAUCAAGCUGGGCACACAGCCGAGUCCCCCACCUCAGUGGAAACCCCACCAGAACUUCCUCGUGCUCCAUCGCCAGCCCCAGCCACUCCGGUCGCAGCUGUCCCCGCGGCUGCCAUUGCCGUCCCCAUGUCCAGCAAAGCCCCACCCGCAGCUGACCCGGAGGACAAAUGUGAACUGGCAGCCCCCAGAGAGGAGGCGAUGCCUACACCCAGUGCCACAGCCUUCCCGGAGCCAGCAGCCCCUCCUCCUGCAGAGGAGCCCAGGGCCGAGGUGUGCACAGAGCCCAGCAGUGCGGUAGCAUCACCCGGUGAUGCGCCGGUGCCGGUGCCGGCCGGGCCUGGUGUCAUCAGUGACACGAGCAGCACCAGGGCCGCAGGGGCCGAGCCCGUGGCAGAGGUGGCCCAGGCAGAAGCUGCAGCGUUGACUGUGGAGUUGGAGCCCCCCGAGGCCCCCCUGGCAGAGCUGGAGAGCGCUCCAUCACCUCCCAGUGCUCCUCACGCUGCCCCCUCUCCUCCUCCCACCCCGCCGCCCACCCCGCCGCCCCCAUCCCCUCCAGUUUCUGUUGCUGCUGUUACCACUACAACUCCUUCACCACCUCCUCUCCCAUCUCCGAGUGCCCUCCCUGUUGUCCAGGGAGAUUUAGAAGGAGAGGAGAGCACAAGAACUACUCCUAGCGAAGAGGUAAAAGAUACUGAAAAGAAGGAAGAGACAGAAACAGAUGGGCAACUGGAGGAGAACCGGGAGGCUCUGAGUGUGAACGCGAGCAGGAGUCCUGUCCCAGCCCAAACUGCUGUAACUGCACCAAAGACCUGGAAGAAACCAAAAGACCGGACCCAAGCCACUGAGGAGGUGACAGAGGCAGAAACAGAGCCUAAGGAGGAGGAGGAGGAGGAACCUUCAGGGGACAAAGUACUUGAAUCUGACCAGGAGAAAAUGAGCCAUGGGCUUCAACCGGAGAGGGAACCCUUAGAGCUCAAAGUGGUGAAACCCGUGGAGGAGAACGGGGAGCCGGAGGCAGAGCCCGUGCGGAACGGUGCCGAGAGCAUCUCGGAGGGCGAGGGCACCGACGCCAACUCCGGCUGCACAGAGAGCUCCGGAGAGGGGCCCGUGUACCAGUGCAAACCAGAGCAGUGGAAGCCCCUAGACCCGGAGGGGAAGAAGCAAUAUGACCGGGAAUUCCUGCUGGAUAUCCAGUUCAUGCCUGCCUGUAUCCAGAAGCCCGAGGGGCUGCCUCCCAUCAGCGAUGUGGUGCUCGACAAGGUGAGGGGAGAGCCCAUAAAACAGGUCAGUCAGCCGAAAUUGCCGCUGAGGACUCUGGACCCCCGGAUCCUGCCACGAGGCCCCGACUUCACACCAGCCUUUGCUGAUUUUGGGAGGCAAGCCCCCGGGGGAAGAAACGUGUCUGGAAGUGCCUGCAAAGUGCAGAGCACCCCUGGAUUGCCCUCCCUGGCUCGAUGCGGGCCCCCAGCAUGCCCUCUCUUGGUCUCGCCUCACCCACCAUUGAGGAACCUGCCGAUAGGGUUGUUGAAUGUUGGACCGAGGAGAUCUCAGCCGGGCCAGAGGAGAGAGCCCAGGAAGAUCAUCACUGUGUGUGUGAAGGAGGAUGUGCACCUGAAGAAGGCAGAGAACGCCUGGAAGCCGAGCCUGAAGAGAGAAAGCCAAACAGAGGACCCAGAAAAUGUCAAAACCCAGGAGCUGUUCCGCAAGGUACGAAGCAUCUUGAACAAGCUGACACCCCAGAUGUUCAACCAGCUCAUGAAGCAGGUGACAGACCUGACGGUGGACACGGAGGAGAGGCUGAAGGGAGUGAUUGACCUGGUCUUUGAGAAGGCCAUCGACGAGCCCAGCUUCUCCGUGGCGUACGCCAACAUGUGCCGGUGCCUGGUGACGCUGAAAGUGCCCAUGGCAGACAAACCUGGGAGCACAGUAAAUUUCCGUAAGUUGCUGUUAAAUCGCUGCCAGAAGGAAUUUGAAAAGGACAAGGCUGACGAUGAUGUCUUUGAAAAGAAGCAGAAAGAACUCGAAGCUGCCACCACUCCAGAGGAGAAGACGCGGCUCCAUGACGAGCUGGAAGAGGCCAAGGACAAAGCCCGGCGGAGAUCCAUUGGGAAUAUAAAAUUCAUUGGCGAGCUUUUCAAGCUGAAGAUGCUGACAGAGGCCAUCAUGCACGACUGCGUGGUGAAGCUGCUGAAAAACCACGAUGAGGAGUCCCUUGAGUGCCUUUGCCGCCUGCUCACGACCAUUGGCAAGGACCUGGACUUUGAGAAGGCAAAGCCCCGUAUGGACCAGUAUUUUAAUCAGAUGGAGAAGAUUGUGAAAGAGAGGAAAACCUCCUCAAGGAUUCGGUUCAUGCUUCAGGAUGUAAUAGACCUAAGGCUGUGCAACUGGGUGUCACGGAGAGCAGACCAGGGCCCCAAGACCAUCGAGCAGAUCCAUAAAGAAGCCAAGAUCGAAGAGCAGGAAGAACAGAGGAAGGUGCAACAACUCAUGACCAAAGACAAGAGGAGACCGGGUGUCCCGCGGGUCGACGAAGGCGGCUGGAACACUGUGCAGGGGGCAAAGAACAGCAGAGUGCUGGACCCCACCAAGUUCCUUAAAAUCACCAAGCCCACAAUAGAUGAGAAGAUUCAGCUCGUGCCUAAAGCCCAGUUGGGCAGCUGGGGGAAGGGCAGCAGUGGUGGAGCCAAGGCAAGCGAGAUGGACUCCUUGCGACCAAGUGCCACAAGUCUGAACAGAUUUUCUGCCCUGCAGCCUCCGGUCUCCCCAGUAUCUGCCUCAUCUGCAUCUUCAGAACUAGACUCUCGCAGGGCCUUAACAAGUCGUGGGAGCACGGGCAGGGAGAAGAACGACAAACCUCUGCCACCUUCCCUGUCCCGGCCCAACACCUUCCUCCGGGGCAGCAGCAGCAAGGAGCUGCUGCUGGACAACCAGGCCCAGGAGGAGCAGCGCAGGGAGAUGCUGGAGACGGUGAAGCAGCUGACAGGAGGCAUGGAGAUGGACAGGAACAGCACCGAGGCGGAGAGGAACAAAGCCAAGGAAUCUGCCAAGCCAGAAACUCCCCCAGCUCCAGUGCAAGAAAAGCCUUCACUAUCAGAAGAGGAAAUAGAGAGAAAAUGCAAAUCUAUCAUUGAUGAGUUCUUGCAUAUUAAUGAUUUUAAGGAGGCCGUGCAGUGUGUGGAGGAGCUGAGUGCCCAGAGCCUGCUGCCCGUGUUUGUGCGCGUGGGCGUGGAGUCGACGCUGGAGCGGAGUCAGAUCACCAGGGAUCAUAUGGGCCAGUUGUUACAUCAGCUGGUGCAGUCAGGAAAGCUGAGCAAGCAGGAUUUCUUCAAGGGUUUUUCUGAGACCCUGGAGAUGGCAGACGACAUGGCUAUAGAUAUACCCCAUAUCUGGUUAUACCUGGCUGAGCUGGUGACCCCCAUGUUAAAAGAAGGAGGAAUCUCUAUGAGAGAACUUAUACAAGAAUUUAGCAAACCCUUGCUUCCUGUGGGAAGAGCCGGCAUCUUGCUUGCUGAAAUCUUGCACCUUCUAUGCAAACAAAUGGUACCUUUGCACCUGGCUUCUCCCAGAAGCUAAGAGUGCUGAAAUACUGCAAGAGGGACAUGCUCAAGGGAUUUCUGGGCUGACCAGAAGCAGCAAGUGCCGGGAAUCUUGCGAGAGAACUGUUCUUGCAGACCAGAGAGGUUCUCAGGGUUCGGAUAAGCUUCCGAUGGCCUCAGACUGCUGUGUGCUUAUCCAAACUAAAUCUGCCGACUCUUGAGGUUCACCCACCACUGGGGUAGUGACACCUCCUCACCCCGUGACUCCGAGAGCUCUCUUUCACACCUCACAGCUGUGUGUCCAACCAGUUUGGUGGUUUCCCUAUAACUCAUCUCCAUUUUUGUCUUUUUUUUCUUUUUUUUCUUUUUUUCUUUUUUUUUUAAAUCCAGCUAAAUCCUGCACUUUGGAUAGUGUCAAUUUCCAACCCUGUAAAAUCCCUCACUUGCCUUUUUUUUUUAUUAUUUUUUCAAGCAUGCAUUCAAGUAAGGUUGAAUGUUCCAGGAGCAUUUCAGUCCAACAGUGCAAAGAGUGACUUUUUAUUUAUUUACUUUAGUCUUGUGCUUGUUUGGACAGUCAAAUUCCAUUUUUUUUUUAAACUGUUCUGUGAAAGAAAAGCUGCUGUGCUCUAGGUGUGGAAGCACAGCCUUGGGUCUCUGUUUCUGCCACAGCUUUCUGAUUUGAUGAUCUUGUCCAGGCCGAGACUUGGACUCUGGUAUUUCAGUGUAACAUCAGCCAUCUAAUCCAGAUCUUGAUGGAUCACAGCAGGAACUAUGCACACAGUUGUCUCUUAACAACCUGUAUUGUAAACUGAAAAUUGUAAUCUGCUUUGUAAACCUAAAAUCAGGCUGCAUUUCUCAGCUUGGCUUAGGCUACUCAGUGAUCUCCUGUGAGCAGGUGCUGUAAGGUGAAACUUGGCAAAGCAUUUGGGUGAAAAGAGCUGGUUGUGCUCAGUGUUUUUAUUCUUGUAAGAACUGUGUGUCAGAACUGUGCUCUCUGAGGCAAGAGGCUCAAAGGUCAGGUGGUAUUAGAGGCUGCAAAAGGCAGAACCGUCUGUGCUCAAAGGCACUGCUCUCAAGGUUUGCAUAAACUCUAGGAACUGAAGAGAGAAUUCGGGAUCAUGUGCCUGAAUUUGAGGCAUGAUCUCUGCACAGAAAGCAGGUGUGUAAAUGAGGAAUUUUCAAAGGAGCAGUUUGCCAGAGCCUUACUGUCAAGCCAAGGGAUUGUGAGUAACGGAGUAAGACAGGAAAGGGAUCUGAGUCACCUGUGCCAGCUCUGUGUCAGGCCGUGGGAAAGUGCCCUGUUCCGUGUGUCACUGCUCCUGGGUAACCUUGGAGGUUGUUGCAAACCCCCCGUGUCACAUCUGCCUUGCCCAUUCCCCGUCACAAGGCGUUGCCCACCCGACAAGGGGUGCAUACCCAGGGGAUUGCACAUGUGGUUUCUCUUGCACGGGGCCUCCGGAUGUUCUCACUCAUUGCCGGGCGUUUGUUGGGUGGCUGAACUGUCCUUUAUUCCUCCUGACACAGCUGCACCAUUCUGGCCCCUGUGAGUUCCCAGGGUGUCCCUCAGCUCCUUAAAUGGACAAACUGCUUGUUUUUCAGAGCCAUAAGAAAGUGGGAGCCUUAUGGAGGGAGUCUGGCCUCAGUUGGAAGGACUACUUGCCCGAAGGGGAGGAUGUACAUACCUUUCUCACGGAACAAAAGUUGGAGUUCACGGAGUCUGACUGUUCCAGUUCCUCAGAAGCACUUUC